rnacentral:rRNA from 1 species
UCUGUAGGCGGAGGGAUAAGUUGGGCGUGAAAGCUCCAGGCUCAACCUGGAGAGUGCGUUCAAUACUGUCCAUCUAGAGGAGGUCAGAGGGGAGCGGAAUUUCCGGUGUAGCGGUAAAAUGCGCAGAUAUCGGAAGGAACACCAGUGGCGAAGGCGGCUCCCUGGGGCCCACCUGACGCUGAGAGACGAAAGCUAGGGGAGCGAACA